GACGAACGCUGGCGGCGUGCUUAACACAUGCAAGUCGAACGAAGUGGCGAACGGGUGAGUAACGCGUAAUCAACCUGCCCUUCAGAGGGGGACACCAGUUGGAAACGACUGCUAAUACCGCAUACUGAAUGAGGGGUUUGCGUCUGAUUAGCUAGUUGUGGGGGUAAGGGCCCACCAAGGCGAUGAUCAGUAGCCGGUCUGGGAGGAUGAACGGCCACAGUGGGACUGAGAAACGGCCCAGACUCCUACGGGAGGCAGCAGGGGGGAAUCUUCCGCAAUGGAGGAAAGUCUGACGGAGCAACGCCGCGUGAGUGAUGACGGCCUUCGGGUUGUAAAGCUCUGUUAAUCGGGACGCGGUACCGGAAUAGAAAGCCAUGGCUAACUACGUGCCAGCAGCCGCGGUAAUAC
rnacentral:rRNA from 1 species